UAAGCGUCCGUAGCCGGUUAAUAAGUCUCUGGUGAAAUCCUGCAGCUUAACUGUGGGAAUGCUGGAGAUACUAUUAGACUGAGACCGGGAGAGGUUAGAGGUACUCCCGGGGUAGAGGUGAAAUUCUGUAAUCCUGGGAGGACCGCCUGUUGCGAAGGCGUCUAACUGGAACGGUUCUGACGGUGAGGGACGAAAGUUAGGGGCGCGAACCGGAUUAGAUACCCGGGUAGUCCUAACUGUAAACGACGCGGACUUGGUGUUGGGGUGGCUUUGAGCUGCUUCAGUGCCGAAGGGAAGCUGUUAAGUCCGCCGCCUGGGAAGUACGGUCGCAAGACUGAAACUUAAGGAAUUGGCGGGGGAGCACCACAACGCGUGGAGCCUGCCGGUUUAAUUGGAUUCAACGCCGGACAUCUCACCAGAGGCGACAGCUGUAUGAUAGCCAGGUUGAUGACUUUGCUUGACUAGCUGAGAAGUGGUGCAUGG
rnacentral:rRNA from 1 species